rnacentral:rRNA from 1 species
UACAGGGGGGGCAAGCGUUGUUCGGAAUUACUGGGCGUAAAGGGCUCGUAGGCGGCCAACUAAGUCACACGUGAAAUCCCCAGGCUUAACCUGGGAACUGCGUGUGAUACUGGAUGGCUUGAAUUCGGGAGAGGGAUGCAGAAUUCCAGGUGUAGCGGUGAAAUGCGUAGAUAUCUGGAGGAAUACCGGUGGCGAAGGCGGCAUCCUGGACCGACAUUGACGCUGAGGAGCGAAAGCGUGGGGAGCGAACGAGG